rnacentral:rRNA from 1 species
GAUGAACGCUAGCGGCAGGCCUAACACAUGCAAGUCAGGGGUAACAUAGGAAAGCUUGCUUUUCUGAUGACGACCGGCGCACGGGUGCGUAACGCGUAUACAACCUACCUUUUAGCGGGGAAUAGCCCAGGGAAACUUGGAUUAAUGCCCCAUAGUAUAUAGACUUCUCCUGAAGUUUAUAUUAAACAUUUAUGGCUAUUAGAUGGGUACGCGUCCUAUUAGUUAGUUGGUAAGGUAACGGCUUACCAAGGCAGCGAUAGGUAGGGGUCCUGAGAGGGAGAUCCCCACACUGGUACUGAGACACGGACCAGACUCCUACGGGAGGCAGCAGUGAGGAAUAUUGGACAAUGGGCGAGAGCCUGAUCCAGCCAUGCCGCGUGCAGGAAGACUGCCCUAUGGGUUGUAAACUGCUUUUACAGAGGAAGAACCACCCCCACGUGUGGGGGUUUGACGGUACUCUGCGAAUAAGGAUCGGCUAACUCCGUG